rnacentral:misc_RNA from 1 species
UCCGGUUCUUCACCAGCAGUCUCCUUAGAGUCCCCACCACUACGUGUUGGCAACUAAGGACAAGGGUUGCGCUCGUUACGGGACUUAACCCAACAUCUCACAACACGAGCUGACGACAGCCAUGCAGCACCUGUCUCUAGGUUCCUUUCGGCACGCCUACAUCUCUGUAAGCUUCCUAGGAUGUCAAGGGUAGGUAAGGUUCUUCGCGUUGCAUCGAAUUAAACCACAUGCUCCACCGCUUGUGCGGGCCCCCGUCAAUUCCUUUGAGUUUUAAUCUUGCGACCGUACUCCCCAGGCGGAAGACUUAUCGCGUUAGCUUCGAUACUAAAGGGUCUCGCCCUCCAACAUCUAGUCUUCAUCGUUUACAGCGUGGACUAC